rnacentral:rRNA from 1 species
AGGAAUAUUGGGCAAUGCCCGAAAGGGUGACCCAGCAACGCCGCGUGGAGGAUGAAGGUCGUAAGAUUGUAAACUCCUGUUAGAGGGGAAGAAUAACUAAGUUUGGAGCUUAGUAUGACUGUACCCUCAGAGAAAGCCCCGGCUAACUACGUGCCAGCAGCCGCGGUAAUACGUAGGGGGCAAGCGUUGUCCGGAUUGACUGGGGGUAAAGGGCGCGCAGGCGGAAUGGAAAGUCAGUGGUGAAAUCCUACAGCUUAACUGUAGAACUGCCUUUGAUACUUUCAUUCUUGAGUUCGGAAGAGAGAGACGGAAUUCCAGGUGUAGUGGUGAAAUACGUAGAUAUCUGGAAGAACACCAGUUGCGAAGGCGGUCUCUUGGUCCGAUACUGACGCUGAGGCGCGAAA